CCUCUCUUUCUAGUUCUUCCUAGAGUGAGGAAAAGCUGGGUUGAGAGGGC
ensembl:miRNA